CAGGAGAUUUCUCAGGGCCCAGGAUGGUUUUUCAGAUGUGGAUAUUGGCCAACUCCCGAAGUUGCUAGAAAAAUGUAGGCAGCUUGGCCACCUAAGUAAAAGCCAUCCAUGGCAUUUUUCCCAGCCUCAGCUGAAUUCAAACCACUGAACUCUUGUGGUUUAUUUUUUUUACAGCUUUCGUAGCUAACAGGACUGGAUGCCUUUAAAAAACUUUUCAAAAUAAUAUUUUGAAACCUACCAUUAUUUGGUUUUCCCUCUGUAAAGGCUAAUCUGUCAUCAUUUCCCCAUAGCUUGCUUUGUGGAAGGGAGUGGGUGAGGGACAAAGGAAAGGUAACAUGCUGACCAAGACAAGCCCGGCGUGAAGGAAGGGGUUGAUUACAACUAAGAACCUACCAGGAGUUACUCUUCCCCUACAAGAUCCAGAAUGCCUUUUGGUUUCCUCUAAUGAAGCAGCAGCCUGACCAAGUCCUACCCACUGCUCUAGUACCGAGAACUCCAGCUGCAGCGCACAAAAGGAAAGUGAACACAGGGAAAGCUGGGACUUCGUUGUGGGUCACAGAGGAGUGGUUCCACGGGGUGCCAGGGGUGUGGGCGCAGAGUCUUGGCCUUUGGAGCAGGUAGCCUGCAUGGCGAAAAGUGAUGGGAAUAGUGCUGCAUUCAGAUACAGGAUGGACCGCAAUAACAAAGAGACUCAAUGCGGUGGCUGAGAGGCAAGUUCAUUUCUCUUACUCAAGGAUGGAGCAGGUGAUCCAGAGCUACAGCAGUGGCUCGAUGGGGCAGGGAGCCAGGCUCUCCGCCUUGUUACUCCACCUUCUCCUAGGGGAUUCCUUUGGUCCAGGUGGUUCCUUCACAUGAGUGAUGGCUUCAUAGUCCAGCAGGUACGAAGGAGAAAAGAGUGAGGGAAGGCGCAACCGCUCUUUUGAAGGCCAUGGCCUGGAACUUACCCAGCUUCCUACCUUAACUGAGUGACAUGAGCACAACUAGCAAAGGAGGCUGGGAAAUGUAGUCUUAAUGCUACGUUGUCCUAUGACCAGCAAAAAUGUGGGGAUUUCAUUAUUAAAGGCAGAAAGAGAGCAUGUUAGGGGGACAAGAAGGCAAUCAAAGGGGUAGAUUAGGAGGGAUGGGAACAUCGUCGUCCACCCAGCAAGGAAGACAGUGUUGGGCACAUAAAGGAGAGUGGGAAAUGUCAAGGCAGAAAUGACAGCUGAUGAUGAUGGGGGGAACGAAGCCACUGACCACUGAGGACCCUGUGAUCUGGAUAGUAAAGAGGGUAUUGUGAUAGGAGGCCAGCAAAGACAGGGACCUGGGGUUCACUGGGGCGUUGUGCAGGGCACUGCGGCAUGGUGGGCACACUGACUGUGGGAUUGUAGAAGAAAGUACAGUUUGGGGACUGGCGCGUCAGCACCUCAGUGUCUUUUCUGGGAAAAUCUGGUUCUGUCUGGAAUUUUUCUCUGCUAUGUGAAUUCCUUGCUCAUUCACUAUGGGGUCACUUCAUUGAUUUUCUACUCUUUUUUCUAUUUUCUUAUAUGAGCUCUUCUCAUUAAUCUCUACUGCCAAUUGUUUCAAUGUAACAGUAUUACCAAGAAGUACCAUUGGACUACGGACUUUCUGAGGUGUUUUAGAUGUGACCUUGACUUGGUUAAAAAGGAUGGAUGCAAUCACCUUCCAAAAGCUCCAAAUUUGUCACCCUAAAACCUCCAAUUGGGUGGUUGAAAACUGCAAUAUAAAGUCAGACAGAUUUAAACUGGCAUGAAACAAUGUAGAGAAGGCUUAUCAGUACACUUAAAAAACACUUUUAUAGUUUUCAUCUCCAUCCUCAAUUUGAUAGCUCCAAGCUACAAAUGAUUCUUAUAAACAUCUGCUUCUUGUGUUUAUUAUGGUUUUGGAUCUUUGUGCCAAGAAUAUGCAUGACAGGGCUGCCAUUCUUUUCGACCAAAUGUAUCUGAACUUGUGUUUCUGCAUUCUCAUCUGUUUCUCUGUAGAGAAAACAUGCAUUGAACCAAUAGCAUGUCUGGAGCAGUAUCUUGUGAUUUCAACAGCUUCCCUCUGUGAUCCACCAAACAGGUAUUCAUGGUGGGCACUCUGUGCUCUCAGCCUGAAUCUAACUCUGCCAAGCCGUGGUUCUCCAGCUCAGGUAUGGAUGGUAUUAACCGGGGGUCUUCCGGGUUGUUGGAGCCUCCACAGCCUGGAGGAAGUGCAGCGUGUCAAGUGUGCCUAUGCAAACCCAGCUUUAAUCUGCUAAGAAGUGACAGAGCGUAUUGGAUGACGGGAAAACCUGCCAUAUUGUUCCUCAAGCACUGAAUCAUCAAGAAAUGCUCAGUAGCAAUGAAUACGAAAUAAUGCUGGAAAAGAAAAUAUCAAAAACUGGAAAGGAUUGAGAGAAGGAGAGAAGAAUGGGUCGAGGAAUGGAUACAUGAGAAGCAGGCAUGCCGGAAUGAUCAUUGGGAAAUCUAGGUAGUUGGUAUGUUCAGUGUAAAAUGUUCAACUUCUCUGUAUACUUGAAAACAUUAAUAAUGAUGGGAGAAAAUAGG